rnacentral:rRNA from 1 species
UUAAGUGACUAAGCGUACACGGUGGAUGCCUGGGCAGUCAGAGGCGAUGAAGGACGUACUAACUUGCGAUAAGCGCAGAUAAGGCAGUAAGAGCCGUUUGAGUCUGCGAUUUCCGAAUGGGGAAACCCAACUGCAUAAGCAGUUACUGUUAACUGAAUACAUAGGUUAACAGAGCAAACCGGGGGAACUGAAACAUCUAAGUACCCCGAGGAGAAGAAAUCAACCGAGAUUCCGGUAGUAGCGGCGAGCGAACCUGGAUUAGCCCUUAAGCACUCGGUGAAGUAGGUGAACAAGCUGGAAAGCUUGGCGAUACAGGGUGAUAGCCCCGUAACCGACGCUUCAUCGAGCGUGAAAUCGAGUAGGGCGGGACACGUGAUAUCCUGUCUGAAUAUGGGGGGACCAUCCUCCAAGGCUAAAUACUCCUGACUGACCGAUAGUGAACCAGUACCGUGAGGGAAAGGCGAAAAGAACCCCUGUGAGGGGAGUGAAAUAGAACCUGAAACCGUGUACGUACAAGCAGUAGGAGCACCUUCGUGGUGUGACUGCGUACCUUUUGUAUAAUGGGUCAGCGACUUAUAUUCAGUGGCAAGGUUAACCGUAUAGGGGAGCCGUAGCGAAAGCGAGUCUUAACUGGGCGCUCAGUCUCUGGAUAUAGACCCGAAACCGGGUGAUCUAGCCAUGGGCAGGUUGAAGGUUGAGUAACAUCAACUGGAGGACCGAACCGACUAAUGUUGAAAAAUUAGCGGAUGACUUGUGGCUAGGGGUGAAAGGCCAAUCAAACUCGGAGAUAGCUGGUUCUCCCCGAAAGCUAUUUAGGUAGCGCCUCGGACGAAUACUACUGGGGGUAGAGCACUGUUAAGGCUAGGGGGUCAUCCCGACUUACCAACCCUUUGCAAACUCCGAAUACCAGUAAGUACUAUCCGGGAGACACACGGCGGGUGCUAACGUCCGUCGUGGAGAGGGAAACAACCCAGACCGCCAGCUAAGGUCCCAAAGUAUUGCUAAGUGGGAAACGAUGUGGGAAGGCUCAGACAGCUAGGAUGUUGGCUUAGAAGCAGCCAUCAUUUAAAGAAAGCGUAAUAGCUCACUAGUCGAGUCGGCCUGCGCGGAAGAUGUAACGGGGCUAAGCAAUACACCGAAGCUGCGGCAAUGUCUUUUAGACAUUGGGUAGGGGAGCGUUCUGUAAGCCGUUGAAGGUGAAUCGUAAGGUUUGCUGGAGGUAUCAGAAGUGCGAAUGCUGACAUGAGUAACGACAAAGGGGGUGAAAAACCUCCUCGCCGGAAGACCAAGGGUUCCUGUCCAACGUUAAUCGGGGCAGGGUGAGUCGACCCCUAAGGUGAGGCCGAAAGGCGUAAUCGAUGGGAAACGGGUUAAUAUUCCCGUACUUCUGACUAUUGCGAUGGGGGGACGGAGAAGGCUAGGUGGGCCAGGCGACGGUUGUCCUGGUUCAAGUGCGUAGGCUUGAGAGUUAGGUAAAUCCGGCUCUCUCUAAGGCUGAGACACGACGUCGAGCUACUACGGUAGUGAAGUCAUUGAUGCCAUGCUUCCAGGAAAAGCCUCUAAGCUUCAGAUAGUCAGGAAUCGUACCCCAAACCGACACAGGUGGUCGGGUAGAGAAUACCAAGGCGCUUGAGAGAACUCGGGUGAAGGAACUAGGCAAAAUGGUACCGUAACUUCGGGAGAAGGUACGCUCUUGAUGGUGAAGUCCCUCGCGGAUGGAGCUGACGAGAGUCGCAGAUACCAGGUGGCUGCAACUGUUUAUUAAAAACACAGCACUGUGCAAAAUCGCAAGAUGACGUAUACGGUGUGACGCCUGCCCGGUGCCGGAAGGUUAAUUGAUGGGGUUAGCGCAAGCGAAGCUCUUGAUCGAAGCCCCGGUAAACGGCGGCCGUAACUAUAACGGUCCUAAGGUAGCGAAAUUCCUUGUCGGGUAAGUUCCGACCUGCACGAAUGGCGUAAUGAUGGCCACGCUGUCUCCACCCGAGACUCAGUGAAAUUGAAAUCGCUGUGAAGAUGCAGUGUACCCGCGGCUAGACGGAAAGACCCCGUGAACCUUUACUACAGCUUGGCACUGAACAUUGAACCUACAUGUGUAGGAUAGGUGGGAGGCUAUGAAGACGUGACGCCAGUUGCGUUGGAGCCGUCCUUGAAAUACCACCCUUGUAUGUUUGAUGUUCUAACUUAGACCCAUUAUCUGGGUUGAGGACAGUGCCUGGUGGGUAGUUUGACUGGGGCGGUCUCCUCCCAAAGAGUAACGGAGGAGCACGAAGGUGGGCUAAUCACGGUUGGACAUCGUGAGGUUAGUGCAAUGGCAUAAGCCCGCUUAACUGCGAGAAUGACGGUUCGAGCAGGUGCGAAAGCAGGUCAUAGUGAUCCGGUGGUUCUGUAUGGAAGGGCCAUCGCUCAACGGAUAAAAGGUACUCCGGGGAUAACAGGCUGAUACCGCCCAAGAGUUCAUAUCGACGGCGGUGUUUGGCACCUCGAUGUCGGCUCAUCACAUCCUGGGGCUGAAGUCGGUCCCAAGGGUAUGGCUGUUCGCCAUUUAAAGUGGUACGCGAGCUGGGUUUAGAACGUCGUGAGACAGUUCGGUCCCUAUCUGCCGUGGGCGUUGGAAGAUUGAA